AUGCCGGUGCGGCGGCGGGCCCCGCGGCCGCAGGACACGGGGGUGGUGAAGAGGUACGCGGAGAUGGGGAUAGCGGCCGCGCUGUCGCGGCCGUGGGACUACCCGACGGCGUGCCGCGAGCUGGCCGAGCUCCUGCGCCACGGCUACGCGGGCCUCCCCAAGCCCGCCCAGGCCCUCGCCGCCGCCGACGUGCUCGUCGCGUUCCGCCUCCUCCCCGAUGUGCAGACAGAAUAUGCAUUAGCGGCAGCCAAUGGUCUUCUCCUAGCAGUAGAAACUUCCCUGCCAAAGCAAAAGAAGUCACAAGCUGUUUCAGAGUUCAAGUGUUCUGUUGUUUUACAUAAAAGGCGGGCUAAAGUCCAACAAGAGCCUGACCCCCCAGACAUACCAAAUGAUGUGCUUGUUCAUAUCUUUAGUUUUCUGGACACGCGUUCGUUGGUGGCUGCUAGUCUUGUUUGCUGGUCUUGGAAUUCAUCUGCAAACGACAACAAGCUGUGGAGAAUGAACUACUCCCUUUUCUUUAGCACGUCCCAUUUGCGCUCCAAUAGCACGCUUGUCUCCAGUGGUGUUCUUGCACAGAAUAAUGUGGAUCCAGUAUUUGAUGAUCCCAAUUUGAACUGGAAAGAGGUUUUCUACAAGAAGCAUGCAGAGCACAUAAGCUGGAGUGCCGCAUCAAAUAGAGCAAUAUGCCAGCAAUGCCGUUCAGUUCUCUGGCUGAGCAACUUGACGCGUGCUGCUCCUCACCAUUGUCCUAAGAAAGGAAAAGAUGAAAUAAAACUAAUGCCCCUGUUACCUUAUGCAGUUGCUUGUUACAUAUUAAAAGCUCAAGAUCAACCAUCUUCAUCGUCUGACAGUAACGAUUCAGAUAGUGAUUCUGAAAUCAAUGUGCCGAGGCGACUUUGGAAUUCUCGUGUUUGA
rnacentral:rRNA from 1 species